rnacentral:rRNA from 2 species
GCCGUUUGCGGUCCUGUCUAUACAUGCAGUCGAACGAUCUCUGGUAUUGAUUGGUGCUUGCAUCAUGAUUUACAUUUGAGUGAGUGGCGAACUGGUGAGUAACACGUGGGAAACCUGCCCAGAAGCGGGGGAUAACACCUGGAAACAGAUGCUAAUACCGCAUAACAACUUGGACCGCAUGGUCCGAGCUUGAAAGAUGGCUUCGGCUAUCACUUUUGGAUGGUCCCGCGGCGUAUUAGCUAGAUGGUGGGGUAACGGCUCACCAUGGCAAUGAUACGUAGCCGACCUGAGAGGGUAAUCGGCCACAUUGGGACUGAGACACGGCCCAAACUCCUACGGGAGGCAGCAGUAGGGAAUCUUCCACAAUGGACGAAAGUCUGAUGGAGCAACGCCGCGUGAGUGAAGAAGGGUUUCGGCUCGUAAAACUCUGUUGUUAAAGAAGAACAUAUCUGAGAGUAACUGUUCAGGUAUUGACGGUAUUUAACCAGAAAGCCACGGCUAACUACGUGCCAGCAGCCGCGGUAAUACGUAGGUGGCAAGCGUUGUCCGGAUUUAUUGGGCGUAAAGCGAGCGCAGGCGGUUUUUUAAGUCUGAUGUGAAAGCCUUCGGCUCAACCGAAGAAGUGCAUCGGAAACUGGGAAACUUGAGUGCAGAAGAGGACAGUGGAACUCCAUGUGUAGCGGUGAAAUGCGUAGAUAUAUGGAAGAACACCAGUGGCGAAGGCGGCUGUCUGGUCUGUAACUGACGCUGAGGCUCGAAAGUAUGGGUAGCAAACAGGAUUAGAUACCCUGGGUAGUCCAUACCGUAAACGAUGAAUGCUAAGUGUUGGAGGGUUUCCGCCCUUCAGUGCUGCAGCUAACGCAUUAAGCAUUCCGCCUGGGGAGUACGGCCGCAAGGCUGAAACUCAAAGGAAUUGACGGGGGCCCGCACAAGCGGUGGAGCAUGUGGUUUAUUUCGAAGCUACGCGAAGAACCUUACCAGGUCUUGACAUACUAUGCAAAUCUAGAGAUUAGACGUUCCCUUCGGGGACAUGGAUACAGGGUGGUGCAUGGGUUGUCGUCAGCUCG